rnacentral:rRNA from 1 species
CGACGGGAUGGUUUGGCACCUCGAUGUCGGCUCGUCGCAUCCUGGGGCUGGAGUCGGUCCCAAGGGUUGGGCUGUUCGCCCAUUAAAGCGGUACGCGAGCUGGGUUUAGAACGUCGUGAGACAGUUCGGUCCCUAUCCGCUGCGCGCGCAGGAAUAUUGAGAAGGGCUGUCCCUAGUACGAGAGGACCGGGACGGACGAACCUCUGGUGUGCCAGUUGUCCUGCCAAGGGCAUGGCUGGUUGGCUACGUUCGGAAAGGAUAACCGCUGAAAGCAUCUAAGCGGGAAGCCUGCUUCGAGAUGAGUAUUCCCACCCCCUUUGAGGGGUUAAGGCUCCCAGUAGACGACUGGGUUGAUAGGCCAGAUGUGGAAGCCCGGUAACGGGUGGAGCUGACUGGUACUAAUAGGCCGAGGGCUUGUCCUCAGUUG